AAGGAAGGACAGAAAUCAGUAAGUACUGCUAAUACUUAUGUACCCCGGUUAAACUCCGCGGCUUCCUCA
rnacentral:tRNA from 2 species